rnacentral:rRNA from 1 species
GACGUAGGGCGCGAGCGUUGUCCGGAUUUAUUGGGCGUAAAGAGCUCGUAGGCGGCUUGUCGCGUCGACUGUGAAAACCCACGGCUCAACUGUGGGCUUGCAGUCGAUACGGGCAGGCUAGAGUUCGGUAGGGGAGACUGGAAUUCCUGGUGUAGUGGUGAAAUGCGUAGAGAUCGGGAGGAACACCCGUGGCGAAGGCGGCCAACUGGGCCGGACCUGACGCUGAGGCGCGAAGGCGUGGGGAGCGAACGGG